CCUACGGGACGCAGCAGUGGGGAAUAUUGCACAAUGGGCGCAAGCCUGAUGCAGCCAUGCCGCGUGUAUGAAGAAGGCCUUCGGGUUGUAAAGUACUUUCAGCGGGGAGGAAGGCGAUAAGGUUAAUAACCUUGUCGAUUGACGUUACCCGCAGAAGAAGCACCGGCUAACUCCGUGCCAGCAGCCGCGGUAAUACGGAGGGUGCAAGCGUUAAUCGGAAUUACUGGGCGUAAAGCGCACGCAGGCGGUCUGUCAAGUCGGAUGUGAAAUCCCCGGGCUCAACCUGGGAACUGCAUUCGAAACUGGCUGGCUGGAGUCUUGUAGAGGGGGGUAGAAUUCCAGGUGUAGCGGUGAAAUGCGUAGAGAUCUGGAGGAAUACCGGUGGCGAAGGCGGCUCUCUGGUCUGUAACUGACGCUGAGGCGCGAAAGCGUAGGGAGCAAACAGGAUUAGAUACCCGGGUAGUC
rnacentral:rRNA from 1 species